GAGUGAUCAGGAUGUGACAUCUGUCAUCCCACUGGUCUCCAGGACUGACUUGGCUGGUCUAGCUUGCUAGGCAGCUGUCCCCUUCCUCCCUUCAUGCAUCACUCCCAGAGGUGCAAGCUCUAAGAGGAUUACCUUCCCUGGCAGGGGUCGGGAUUAUUCGUGCUUCC
rnacentral:snRNA from 1 species